GGCCGAGUGGUGUAGUGGUUAUCACGUCAGUCUCACACACUGAAGGGCAGGAGUUCGAACCUCCUCUUGGUCA